rnacentral:rRNA from 1 species
AACGUAGGAGGCGAGCGUUCUCCGGAUUUACUGGGUGUAAAGCGCGUGCAGGCGGUUGGUUAAGUUGGGUGUGAAAGCUCCUGGCUCAACUGGGAGAGGUCGCUCAAGACUGGCCAACUGGAGAGCAGUAGGGGAAGGUGGAAUUCCGGGUGUAGUGGUGAAAUGCGUAGAUAUCCGGAGGAACACCAGUGGCGAAAGCGGCCUUCUGGACUGCAUCUGACGCUCAGACGCGAAAGCUAGGGGAGCAAACGGG